CUCAGGUGCUAGCCCACAUAUGGGUGCGAAUGAGAACACACGCGGCGUGGGCGCGCUCGGGGUCAACGGCAGUGGAGAGGAACCGAUCCAGCACCUCUCCUUCCCGGCGAAGCAAACACUUCCCUCCAGAACUCCCUGCAGCCGCAGCAAGUUCCACGGCACCCCCUGCAGGACCGGGCUCCCCUCCAGUAGGACUUCGUGAUCCCUUUCAGGGGGGCCUACAAUUCCCUCUUGGGGAAAACCUGUACCUGCCUCCACGUAAGACCUCCUCGCUUCCACAUCCACUCUCAUUCCCUGGGGGACCUAACCAUUCCCGUGGCUUUCAGCAGCUGUCUAUAUCAAAUGUCUAUCUCCAGCCCAGACCUCUCUCCUGAAUUCCAGACUACAGCCGACUCUGUCUAAUAGACAUCUCAAUCCUAAUACAUCCAAACCCUGAAUUCCUGAUCUCUUCAAAGGCUGCUCCUCACACAGCCUUCCCCAUCGCAGUCGAUGACAAUCCCAUGCUUCUAGUUGCUCAGAUCAAAAUCCUGGAGUCCCUCUUGAGUCCUUUCUCUUAUCAUUCCACGUCUAGUCCAUCAGGAGAUCCUGUUGGCACUGCCUUCAGGCGAAUCCAGAACCUGACCACUUCUCAGUUCCUCCACUGCCACCGCCCGGGGCUGAGCCAACAUCCUUCACCCAGGUUUCUCCAGUAGCUGGUCCCCUGGCCUACCUUCCCUCUCCCCUCCUUUGGUAUUUUCUCAGUACAGCAGUUGGAGUAACCCAUUUAAAACAUCACAUCACAGCUAUCCUCUGCUCAAAACCCUCCGUGGUUACCCAUUUCACUUAGUAAAAGCCAUGGUCCUUGUGGUGACCACAGGAAUGGCCGAGUACAAAUCCUCUUACAUCAUCUCCUACUUCUGUCCCCCUCACUCGGGAUACAUUAGCCUCUUGGCCGGGCCCCAGACAGUCCCGAAAUGACUCCCCAACACACCACACAUUGUAAGCCCUUUGCUCUAGCUAUUCCCACUGCCUGGAACACAAACGCCCUCGGCUCCUUCAAAGCUUUCCACAAAUCUCACCUGUUCAAUGAGGCUCACCAGGACCUCAUCCUGAUUCAUCCUGACGGACCCCCACAGCACUCCCAAUCUCCCCUUACUCUUAUUGAAUCCCUGCCUAACAUAGUAUAUAGUUUACUUAUUCAUUAACUUUUUUGUUUAUUGUCUGUAUCCCCCCCCACUAAAAUGUAACCCCCAUGAAGACAGGAAGUCAUCUAUUUUGUUCACCAGUGCCUGGAGCAGUGUCUGGCAGAUAGUAAGUACAUAAUAUGUGUUGAAUGAAAUGAAUGAGUGCCUGAGCACUUUCAGGAGUGUUGCAAUUCCCCCUAUCAAAAUGCAUCUUGUUGGUCCCUUAGUUGAUACCUGAAACCGUACCACUCCUGUUUCCUUCCUUUAUCCAGUGGUUCUGGCCCCAGUUUAAAAUGCAAGUGCCCCUGGGAGAGGUAUUAAGCUGUAUCAGUCAUCUUCAUUCUAAUGUGAAUAGUGAUCUCAAUUUUGUUGGUUACAAGAGAAAUCUGGCCUCUUUGCCAUUCUGGUGUGUUCAUACUCAAUUUUCAACCUAAUAGAGAAAAUUAGAAAUGACACAAAUUCAAAUAUUUCUCAUUUACUUUAGGAUGCAUUAUAGGCCUGUGUUUCAGAGGCUGCUGUAGCUGAUAAUUUGUUUAAAUGAAUACUAAAAUUGGUUUGCAUCCCCUUUACACACAAGUGCAGGAAUAAUAAUAAUAGCUAACACUAUUGAGUGCUCUGUGCCAGGUACUGUGACAGGCAUUUUACAGCCUUUAUCUUAUUUAAUCCUCAUUGCAACUCAAUAAGCUAUGUGUUAUUGUCAUUAUUAUCCCCAUUUUAUAGAUAUGGAAACUGAGACUUUGAGACUUAAAUUACAAUGUCCAGGGUCACCCAGGUGAGUAACUGUGGAGCCUGGACUUAGCCCAGGCGUAUCUGACACCAAACUCAGGCUCUACCAUUAUCUUACUCCUUCUUCUGAAGGGUGACGUGUGGGUGAGCUGGUGGGGGCAGGGCUGCAGGGAGAUGAACAGUGUGAAAUGAUUGCAAAAUAUGCUGUAGAUAAUUCACAAAGAGCCAAGUCACUGGGAACAGAGUGUAUGUGUGUUAGGGGGUCACGUGCAGGAUUGAUAGCCCAGCUUUUCUAAAGGUAGGCACUGUAUAAAUCUAGCAAGUAAAUAUUACCUUCAUGCUUCUUUAGUUUCAUUUUUCACUUCUCUUUUCAGCUGUGAAAUGUGUUCUUUCCUUUCCAGAAAAAGGUAUUUCCUAAAUAUUUGGUCUUGCAGUAUACGCCCAUAUCCCAGCUUUUAACUUGGAACACAGCCCUGGGUGUGCUCUUUCGAGUGGCCAAGUGGAGCCUGGUGGAAACAAGAGCUGGGCAGAGUUGUCAAGUAUGGCAGGACACUUCCAGUCAUGUCUUCAU